rnacentral:rRNA from 1 species
UACGUAGGGCGCAAGCGUUAUCCGGAAUUAUUGGGCGUAAAGAGCUCGUAGGCGGUUUGUCGCGUCUGCCGUGAAAGUCCGGGGCUCAACUCCGGAUCUGCGGUGGGUACGGGCAGACUAGAGUGAUGUAGGGGAGACUGGAAUUUCUGGUGUAGCGGUGAAAUGCGCAGAUAUCAGGAGGAACACCGGUGGCGAAGGCGGGUCUCUGGGCCGUAACUGACGCUGAGGAGCGAAAGCGUGGGGAGCGAACAGG